AUUGAACGCUGGCGGCAGGCCUAACACAUGCAAGUCGAGCGCGCGGGGGACGGGUGAGUGAUGUCUGGGAAACUGCCUGAUGGAGAGGGGUAACUCCUGGAAACGGUAGCUAAUACCGCAUACGCUCAGAUGUGCCCAGAUGGGAUUUGCGAGUAGGGGGGGGAACGGCGCACCUAGGCGACGAUCCCUAGCUGGUCUGAGAGGAUGACCCGCCACACUGGAACUGAGACACGGUCCAGACUCCUACGGGAGGCAGCAGUGGGGAAUAUUGCACAAUGGGCGCAAGCCUGAUGCAGCCAUGCCGCGUGUGUGAAGAAGGCCUUCGGGUUGUAAAGCACUUUCAGCGGGGAGGCGUUACCCGCAGAAGAAGCACCGGCUAACUCCGUGCCAGCCGCGGCGGUAAUUC
rnacentral:rRNA from 1 species